UCAAAGGUUAUGGGGAGAAGGCAGGAGAAUGGGGUUAGGAGGGAGAGAUAGAUCAGCCAUGAUUGAAUGGCAAAGUAGACUUGAUGGGCUGAAUGGCCCAAUUCUAUUCCUAUUAUUUAUGAUCUUAGGAAUACUGCUCCAUGAGAGAUGCUAUAUCAUUGAAUGAGACAACUUGAUGACAUCUGUCUAGGCAACGAGAAGGACAUUUUCCGUGGUCGAGAUGAGUUAAAGGGAAUGGCGUGAGUGGACGUUUCACCUUCUCCAGCUUCCAGAUAUUGUUCUUGAAGUAUUAUCAGCAAAGGGAAAUAAAAGUGAUCUUUGUCCCACAACCAACAUCAUUAAAUCUGGCCACUUUGGGGAUCUUUUGUGUAUAUUUAGCAUGUGUUCCACUGUAACAGAAACUAUAUUUGAAAAAUAUAUUAAAUUGCCUUUGUGAUGGACCUUGGCACCUUAAGGGCAUGGAAGAUGGUCCUAUUCUGUUUGGUUUUACAAGAAUUUGUGUACUUACAGUAUGACCAACUAACUGAGAUCAGUCAAGCAAGAUAGUAAUUUUGAGAUCUGGUCUGAUAUUAAAUUGGACCCAAGCCAAAGUUAUAAUUUGUUUUUCCAAAUUCCACCCAACCCGACCAUUAUUCCUUUGCAUGAUUGUUCCCACUGCCCUCUGCA